UACGCAUAAUACGGAUAUAAGUCAAUCAUAAAAGGUGACUGAUUCUCUGCAAGGAAUUCCAACAUCGGUUUUAGAAAAAAGGCGUGACUACUGUUAAAUGCCCCUGCAGAAGGUGGGAACGAUCGGGAUAAUACGCCCAAUGAAUGGGUACUAGAGACUUUAAUCCUCCUAUGAAGACCAGCUUUUUUCAAAGCUGUAAACACAUUUUGCAUUGCAGGUACUACCAGAGCAGCUGUAGUAUUUGGGGCUUCCGUGAGUUCAGCACCAACAGUUAUGGAAGUGACUUUCG
rnacentral:misc_RNA from 1 species